CUUAAACUGAAGACUAGAGGAGUUCUUCAAGUCGUCAGUGAAGAUGACUCCUUCUGUGAUCGUCAAGCGACCCUCCAACGGCGAUCUAUCUGAAGACCACCAGGGAGAAACCUUCCUCGUCAUCAUUCUAUUCACCAGGCUGAGCCAGGACACCGCCAGGAGUCCAACACACAGGAGGAGGAGAAGAAAACACAAGACGAACAGGAGAACCUCUGACCCCGAUCUCCUCCUCAUGGUGCUGCCCUAAACCCAGGACCGAGCGUCACCAGCUAA